UCAUAAAAAAAAAAAUAAAGCAAAGUAAAUAAAUCAACUUCCAAAUCGAGUCCUUCUGCAAACACCAGCUGCACAGGAAGAGGAAGGCAGUCUCUGAGCAGCCCCAGGAGCACAGGCUGGGCUGUCUGUGGAGGAGAGCAGAGCCAAGCUGCUGGCAAUACCAUCUACAGCCCACAGGAAAGAACCUUGGCGGAAAGCAAGGAGGCAGAACAAUUGUGUGAACUUAGCUCCCGUUCUCAUCCGUGAACAUCUGGCCACUGCGUCAUGUGUCAUUUAUUUGAUCCAAGCCUGUUCUGAGAUUACGCACAGUGGCACUCUUGUCACGAGGGCUGGGAAGGACUUCGUCAGAGACAAGGGAUCACAGGCUCACCUCAGUAGCAGGACCGUGGAGCAGAACAGCCAAACAGGAUUCAAGUGAUGCAUUUGGAUGGCUCGCUUCCCUGCAUUGUGUCUAGAGCCUGGAAUGGGGCAGCCACUUAGCUCCACCGUGUCUGUAGUGGCUUCAUCCUCACAACUUCGGUCUUCCAACUGGAAGACUCUGGAUAACCAUCUCGUGGGCUUAUGCGCUGGCAGUUACAAAUCAGCCUGGUGGUAAUUAUGCUUGCAGAUCAGCUAUUAAGUUUAUGUGCUUGUCAAAUUUUGACUCUAUGCUCCAUUGAAAUGUAAUUAGAACCACUUAGAGCUGGUCAGACGCCAACGUUAAGACCCUGACGGAUCUUGAUGACUACAGGAUUCAUGCUCAGCUCACCCUGGGACACCCUUCCGCUAUUCUGCAUACAUCAGGGACUGGAAGGGCAGGAUACAAAGUUGAAAGGAAUUGAAAGCCAGGAGGAGCCAGAAGGAAAUCUAGGGGGAGUCAGAUGCCAAGUCCUACAUUUCCUCUGGGCAGAAGCAACUGAUGGCAGGCUUGUAGAUUGGAGGAGACUGGGCUGGCCUACUAUAUAUAAGACACUGAAGAGUUUAGUUAACAGUUUCCUCUCUUUACAAAAGCUCAGACAGGACUUAUGAUGCAUUAACACUGCAUCAUAUGGUUUACAAAUAUUUACUGUCCUUGUUCUCAUAGCAAUGUUCUACCUAAGUGUAAUCAUUAUACCCAAUUAUUAGGCGGGAAAUUGAGGCACACAAAAUAAAUAGCUUGCAUAUAGCAAGAGGAAGACUUUUAAACAUUUCUUUCACCGAAUAUGUUAUUUCCUCUCUACAGAUGUGCCUCCCACCCACUGUCUGUUUGGUAAACUCUUCCUCCCCCUUCAGCACUGAAACUCAAAGGCCACCUCAUGUGCCCUCAGUGACCUAGUGACCUGGCCGUGAUUCUGACUUCCUCUACCUCCCUGGCGGGCUUACGCACGUCUAUCCUAGUCAUGGACACAUUGUGUUUUAACAAUUUAACCUCUCUGUCUAUAAGUCAAAGGCCACAGCUUACAUUUCCUUGGCUUCCCAGUCCCUUGUAUAUACUGCCUGGAAACCAGUUGGUAAUCCUGCCAAUUCUGCCUGGUGAGCCCAGCCUCCGGCUCCUUAUCAGACUCUAAUGUCAUUUGUCCUUUAGGGUCCAGCUUAGAAAUGAGCUCCUGUAGAAGCCAUCCUCACCCACAGACCUGGGCUCAGAUGCCUCUCCUGCCUCAUUGCCAAGUCACCGUGGGCCCGUGUAUAGACGGACAGAAGGACAACAGUGUCUGAGUGCCUGCCUCAAUUCCAGCUAGGCUCUUAGUGAUUACUGCUCUGAAAAACCAGAGUAACACCAUAAGCUUUCUGCAUGUUUUUAAAAGCGACUGUGUGUGUGUGCUCUGUGUGUGUGUGUGUGUGUGUGUGCGUGUGUGUAACAACAAUUUUCAAAAGAAGUCAUAAAUUUGAAAGACCUCAAAGGGGAAGGGUACAUGAGAGGAUUUGGAAAGAGGAAAGGAAAGGGGGGGGAGAAUAAAAUAACUAUGUAUAAUUAUGUAAGUAAGUAUAUAUGAAUAUAUGAUAUGUAUUAUGCACAUGAGGUAAUUAUAUAUAGUGUUUUAAAAGAUGUUUUUAUUUUUAUUUUAUACAUAUGGAUGUGGUCCCAUGGACUGAACUCACCUUGUCAAGCUUGGUGGUAGACACCUUUACCUGCCCAGCCAUCUUAUCAGCCCAUGACCGACAUUUUUUAAAAGAUGCAAAAAAGAAAAACAAAGACCUGACUUACAGGUUAAAAGCACUUGUUGCUCUUUCAGAGGACCCAAGCUCAGUUCCUAUCACCCACAUGGUGACUCACAACUAUCGGUAAUCCUGGUCCCAGAGGAUCUGACGCCCUCUCCCACCCUCCGUGUACACCAGGCACACAUACAGUGCUCAUACAUACAUGCAAGCAAAGCGUUCAUGUGUAUAAAAUAAAAAUUAAUAAAGCCUGUUUAAAAA